rnacentral:lncRNA from 1 species
GUGACAAUGAAGACUGAGGUGUCUGCUUUGCAGUUUUUUUUUUUCUUUUCUUGUCUUUUUUUUUUUUUUUCCUAAUCAUGUGGACAUCUCUGAGAAUGAGGGGACUGGGUGACUUUGCAGUGUCUGCUUUCUAAGUUUCAAAGUGACUUUCCAGGCAAGCUGCGCAUAUCUUGGGAUCUUCACAGCACAGUGGCUGGGAAGGCAGGCGGACCCGUCUAUCAGCUUCUCCCUGGUGGGAUUCUUGCGGGGGCAGGGAUCGAGUCAAACCUUGGAAAUGACGUCAUUCUGAACUCAUCUGCCUUUAUCCAGAAGACUACCAAAGCAAACCAGAGGACCAGAGAACAGCAGCUGCUCUGGACAAAGAGGGGAGGACACCCACACCCACAUACCAAGUUCUGGUUGACUUCUACAGCAGAAGAAGCAGGAGACACAAGAAGCUUGACUUGACCCUCUGACACCAGAGAACUUAUAGAUCUUGCUCUGGCCUCAAGGGAGGAGAAAAACCUCAAAAUCGAUCAGGACUGGAGUAGAUAACACUCCACUGUGCCUAUCAGUGGGAUUCUACUGAGCCACCAGGAGUACACACAAGGGGCAGCAUUCUCAGAAGGAUCCAUCUAUGAUCCAGGCAGAAAGAGCAGAUGUAUCUGAAUGGUCCACUAUCUUCUUCAAACUGAUUUCCACAAAGACCAAUAGCUCUAUCCAAUCCUUAUAAUCUGUUUCUCUUUGCUACAGAGUCAUUCUGUACCAACAGUAAUGUCUGGACCCUUCUCCUGGGAAAGGCACUUUGAACCUUCCCCAUGGUUCUCCACAUCUGUUCUCCACCCAUUCUCCCUCCAGCGGUGGAGAUGAUGAUGAUGGUGGUGGUGGUGAUGAUGAUGUCCUUUUCUGGUCAAGGAGAAGAAAGCUUCAUAGCACUAUGGUUGAAGGUCAGCUUUCCUAGGUCUUUUGCUAACAUUUCUGUUUGUGGGGUUUCUGAAUCAUCGGAGGAUACUUGUUUGAAGGAUGUCUGAGGAGAUCUUGGGUUCAAACUUGAGUCAAACACCGUUGAUGCCCCCAAAAGUUAGCUCCAAACAGAAUUGCUUAGUCCUGGGAAAAAAUGAAAAUCCAAGCUCCAACUGGCAAAGCAGAGAGGACCUGACAAGUGAGCGUUUUCGACAUCGUAGAAGAGAAAUUGGAUGACUAAGAACAAUCAUCUUCCUGACAGAUUAUGAUCUUGGUCAGCCUGGCUCUGCUGAGUCACUCUGCUAAAUAGUUCCCCUCACGUGGCCCAGCUGCCACCUGUCCCCAGAGGCGCCAAAGGCCACCUGAUCCCAACCACAACUUCAGCUCUCACUACUUGGGUUGUUCCUGCUGCUGUAUUUGUUUUGUUCUUAGGUUAAAAGCAUAAUAUGUAUACAAAAUUAUGUACCAGGUAAACGUUCACAAUUAGCUUCAUGUCAAAAUUAAAAUUAGCAUGAUCAUAAA